AAGUCAAACCUCUCUAACUUUGAUCAAGUUUAUAGAAAAAUGCACCAAAAUCUAGAAUAUCAAACUAGUUCCAUUAAAUUCUCCAUGAAAUAUAUUUUGAUAAUGCAUUUAUUGAACUUGUAGAUGAUAAUAUAUUUUUUCUAAAAACUUGAUCAAAGUUAGAGAAGUUUGACUU
rnacentral:pre_miRNA from 1 species